rnacentral:rRNA from 1 species
UACGGGGGGGGGCAAGCGUUGUUCGGAAUUACUGGGCGUAAAGGGCUCGUAGGCGGCCAACUAAGUCAGACGUGAAAUCCCUCGGCUUAACCGGGGAACUGCGUCUGAUACUGGAUGGCUUGAGUUUGGGAGAGGGAUGCGGAAUUCCAGGUGUAGCGGUGAAAUGCGUAGAUAUCGGGAGGAACACCUGUGGCGAAAGCGGCGCACUGGACCACAACGUGACGCUGAGGCGCGAAAGCUAGGGGAGCAAACAGG